rnacentral:lncRNA from 1 species
ACAAUGCUACUUCAGCUCUCCCAAGCUUGGGCCAUGGAAGAGCAAGCAUCGCCGACGAGCUAGCCAUAGUGACAGUGCAACAGAAAAAGAAGGCAAAAUGGAUGUCAGGGUGUAGCAAUUGUCGACCUCGUUUUCCAUUUUAGUCCCGCUUAAUACCAAGCUAAAACUCCAGACUAAGUAACGACCUUUAACGAAGCGCAUAGGGACUGUUAGUCAAAGCGAGUCCCAUUUAUUCUAGUCUAGAAAUAGACCAAACAUAGGAUUAUAGUCCUACUUAAGCCAGUCCCUCUUAAGAAGGUGUAACAAACGCACCCUAAGAGUUCAUGUGGAAGGGCUUUAGCUCGCUCGAAAGAUAAAACGUAAGAUAGGAACUAGAGACAAUGCUUUUGACACGUGUUCUUGUGAAAUCCACUCUUUAAUAUAUUUCAAAGAAAAAAAUUUAUUAUUAUGAAAAAAUAAGAAUUUUUUUUUAUUUAUAAGAAAGACUAUAUAUAUGUCCAAUCUCUAGCGGCU